rnacentral:rRNA from 1 species
GAUGAACGCUGGCGAGAUGCCUUACACAUGCAAGUCAUACGAGAAUUUUAAUUCAAGUGGCGGACGGGUGAGUAACACGUAAGAAUUUGCCUUUAGGAGGGGGACAACAACUGGAAACGGUUGCUAAUACCCCAUAUGCUUUCGAGUGAAACGGAUUUUUCCGCCCAAAGAUCGGUGUGCGUCUGAUUAGCUAGUUGGUAGGGUAACGGCCUACCAAGGCGACGAUCAGUAGGGGAUGUGAGAGCAUGAUCCCCCACACGGGUACUGAGACACGGACCCGACUCCUACGGGAGGCAGCAGUAAGGAAUAUUGGACAAUGGUCGGAAGACUGAUCCAGCCAUGCCGCGUGAAGGAUGAAGGCGCUCAGCGUUGUAAACUUCUUUUGUACGGGAACAAAAUGCGACCUGCGGGUUGUACUGAGGGUACCGUAAGAAUAAGCACCGGCUAACUCCGUG